rnacentral:rRNA from 1 species
UACGUAGGUGGCAAGCGUUGUUCGGAAUUAUUGGGCGUAAAGGGCGCGUAGGCGGCAUGUUAAGUCGGCUGUGAAAGCCUGGGGCUCAACCCCAGAGGGUCGGCCGAUACUGGCAAGCUAGAGUACGGAAGAGGUAGCUGGAAUUCCCGGUGUAGUGGUGAAAUGCGUAGAUAUCGGGAGGAACACCAGUGGCGAAGGCGACUACCUGGCCUGUUCUUGACGCUGAGGCGCGAAAGCUAGGGGAGCAAACGGG